rnacentral:rRNA from 1 species
CCUACGGGAGGCAGCAGUGGGGGAUAUUGCACAAUGGGGGAAACCCUGAUGCAGCGACGCCGCGUGGGUGAAGAAGUAUUUCGGUAUGUAAAGCCCUAUCAGCAGGGAAGAAAGAAGACGGUACCUGACUAAGAAGCCCCGGCUAACUACGUGCCAGCAGCCGCGGUAAUACGUAGGGGGCGAGCGUUAUCCGGAUUCACUGGGUGUAAAGGGAGCGUAGACGGCCGUGCAAGCCAGGAGUGAAAGCCCGGGGCCCAACCCCGGGACUGCUGUUGGAACUGUGCGGCUGGAGUGCGGGAGGGGCAGGCGGAAUUCGUGGUGUAGCGGUGAAAUGCGUAGAUAUCAGGAAGAACACCGGCGGCGAAGGCAGCCUGCUGGACCGCGACUGACGUUGAGGCUCGAAAGCGUGGGGAGCGAACAGGAUUAGAUACCCCAGUAGUC